UACGGGGGGGGCUAGUGUUAUUCAGAAUAAUUGGGCGUAAAGGGCGCGUAGGCGGCGUGGUAAGUCACUUGUGAAAUCUCUGAGCUUAACUCAGAACGGCCAAGUGAUACUGCUGUGCUAGAGUGCAGAAGGGGCAAUCGGAAUUCUUGGUGUAGCGGUGAAAUGCGUAGAUAUCAAGAGGAACACCUGAGGUGAAGACGGGUUGCUGGGCUGACACUGACGCUGAGGCGCGAAAGCCAGGGGAGCAAACGGG
rnacentral:rRNA from 1 species